UACAGAGGUCUCAAGCGUUGUUCGGAUUCAUUGGGCGUAAAGGGUGCGUAGGCGGCGCGGUAAGUCGGGUGUGAAAUCUCGGAGCUUAACUCCGAAACUGCAUUCGAUACUGCCGUGCUUGAGGACUGGAGAGGAGACUGGAAUUUACGGUGUAGCGGUGAAAUGCGUAGAUAUCGUAAGGAAGACCAGUGGCGAAGGCGGGUCUCUGGGCCGAAUACUGACGCUGAGGAGCGAAAGCAUGGGUAGCGAACAGG
rnacentral:rRNA from 1 species